rnacentral:rRNA from 1 species
CAGCCGUAAACUAUGCGCGUUAGGUGUAUCGGUGACCACGAGUUACCGAGGUGCCGAAGGGAAACCGUGAAACGUGCCGCCUGGGAAGUACGGUCGCAAGGCUGAAGCUUAAAGGAAUUGGCGGGGGGAGGCACCACAACAGGUGGAGCCUGCGGUUUAAUUUGGACUCAACGCCGGGAAGCUCACCGGAUAGGACAGCAGAAUGAUUGCCGGGCUGAAGACCCUGCAUGACUAGCUGAGAGGAGGUGCAUGGCGUAGACGUCU